GACGAACCUUGCUAACGUUAUUCGGAAUUACUGGGCUUAAAGGGUGCGUAGGCGGUGCAGAAAGUUGGGUGUGAAAGCCCUCGGCUCAACCGAGGAAUUGCGCCCAAAACUGCUGCACUAGAGGAAGACAGAGGUACGCGGAACUUAGGGUGGAGCGGUGAAAUGCGUUGAUAUCGCUUGGAACGCCGAAGGUGAAAACAGGUCGCUGGGGAUGUGCCGACGCUGAGACACGAAAGCCAGGGGAGCAAACGGG
rnacentral:rRNA from 1 species